CAAGUAUACGCAGCUCAAGCAAGUAACAACACGUGUCCGUGUCUCUUAUCAUUUCUUUAUUAUUAGAGUAACUUAUAAGGUUAUGGGCCCAGAUUUCGCGUAAUGGCUAAUGCAAUAGUUACAAACAGUUUUAAGGACGUGAGCCAUUUACCAAAAUUCAAUGGCCAGAAUUUCACGGAAUGGAAAUAUGAAUUUCAAAACAUGAUGGAACAACUCGGCCUUAAGGCCUUGCUUGAAGCACCUCCCGGUGGUGUACUAGAUGCCAUCCCUUUGGAGACAAGAGUUGAUAACGCGGUCAC